GGUUAAGCGACUAAGCGUACACGGUGGAUGCCCUGGCAGUCAGAGGCGAUGAAGGACGUGCUAAUCUGCGAUAAGCGUCGGUAAGGUGAUAUGAACCGUUAUAACCGGCGAUUUCCGAAUGGGGAAACCCAGUGUGAUUCGUCACACUAUCAUUAACUGAAUCCAUAGGUUAAUGAGGCGAACCGGGGGAACUGAAACAUCUAAGUACCCCGAGGAAAAGAAAUCAACCGAGAUUCCCCCAGUAGCGGCGAGCGAACGGGGAGCAGCCCAGAGCCUGAAUCAGUGUGUGUGUUAGUGGAAGCGUCUGGAAAGGCGCGCGAUACAGGGUGACAGCCCCGUACACAAAAAUGCACAUGCUGUGAGCUCGAUGAGUAGGGCGGGACACGUGGUAUCCUGUCUGAAUAUGGGGGGACCAUCCUCCAAGGCUAAAUACUCCUGACUGACCGAUAGUGAACCAGUACCGUGAGGGAAAGGCGAAAAGAACCCCGGCGAGGGGAGUGAAAAAGAACCUGAAACCGUGUACGUACAAGCAGUGGGAGCACAGAGCAAUCUGUGUGACUGCGUACCUUUUGUAUAAUGGGUCAGCGACUUAUAUUCUGUAGCAAGGUUAACCGAAUAGGGGAGCCGAAGGGAAACCGAGUCUUAACUGGGCGUUAAGUUGCAGGGUAUAGACCCGAAACCCGGUGAUCUAGCCAUGGGCAGGUUGAAGGUUGGGUAACACUAACUGGAGGACCGAACCGACUAAUGUUGAAAAAUUAGCGGAUGACUUGUGGCUGGGGGUGAAAGGCCAAUCAAACCGGGAGAUAGCUGGUUCUCCCCGAAAGCUAUUUAGGUAGCGCCUCGUGAAUUCAUCUCCGGGGGUAGAGCACUGUUUCGGCAAGGGGGUCAUCCCGACUUACCAACCCGAUGCAAACUGCGAAUACCGGAGAAUGUUAUCACGGGAGACACACGGCGGGUGCUAACGUCCGUCGUGAAGAGGGAAACAACCCAGACCGCCAGCUAAGGUCCCAAAGUCAUGGUUAAGUGGGAAACGAUGUGGGAAGGCCCAGACAGCCAGGAUGUUGGCUUAGAAGCAGCCAUCAUUUAAAGAAAGCGUAAUAGCUCACUGGUCGAGUCGGCCUGCGCGGAAGAUGUAACGGGGCUAAACCAUGCACCGAAGCUGCGGCAGCGACGCUGAUGCGUUGUUGGGUAGGGGAGCGUUCUGUAAGCCUGUGAAGGUGUGCUGUGAGGCAUGCUGGAGGUAUCAGAAGUGCGAAUGCUGACAUAAGUAACGAUAAAGCGGGUGAAAAGCCCGCUCGCCGGAAGACCAAGGGUUCCUGUCCAACGUUAAUCGGGGCAGGGUGAGUCGACCCCUAAGGCGAGGCCGAAAGGCGUAGUCGAUGGGAAACAGGUUAAUAUUCCUGUACUUGGUGUUACUGCGAAGGGGGGACGGAGAAGGCUAUGUUGGCCGGGCGACGGUUGUCCCGGUUUAAGCGUGUAGGCUGGUUUUCCAGGCAAAUCCGGAAAAUCAAGGCUGAGGCGUGAUGACGAGGCACUACGGUGCUGAAGCAACAAAUGCCCUGCUUCCAGGAAAAGCCUCUAAGCAUCAGGUAACAUCAAAUCGUACCCCAAACCGACACAGGUGGUCAGGUAGAGAAUACCAAGGCGCUUGAGAGAACUCGGGUGAAGGAACUAGGCAAAAUGGUGCCGUAACUUCGGGAGAAGGCACGCUGAUAUGUAGGUGAAGUCCCUCGCGGAUGGAGCUGAAAUCAGUCGAAGAUACCAGCUGGCUGCAACUGUUUAUUAAAAACACAGCACUGUGCAAACACGAAAGUGGACGUAUACGGUGUGACGCCUGCCCGGUGCCGGAAGGUUAAUUGAUGGGGUCAGCGCAAGCGAAGCUCUUGAUCGAAGCCCCGGUAAACGGCGGCCGUAACUAUAACGGUCCUAAGGUAGCGAAAUUCCUUGUCGGGUAAGUUCCGACCUGCACGAAUGGCGUAAUGAUGGCCAGGCUGUCUCCACCCGAGACUCAGUGAAAUUGAACUCGCUGUGAAGAUGCAGUGUACCCGCGGCAAGACGGAAAGACCCCGUGAACCUUUACUAUAGCUUGACACUGAACAUUGAGCCUUGAUGUGUAGGAUAGGUGGGAGGCUUUGAAGUGUGGACGCCAGUCUGCAUGGAGCCGACCUUGAAAUACCACCCUUUAAUGUUUGAUGUUCUAACGUUGACCCGUGAUCCGGGUUGCGGACAGUGUCUGGUGGGUAGUUUGACUGGGGCGGUCUCCUCCUAAAGAGUAACGGAGGAGCACGAAGGUUGGCUAAUCCUGGUCGGACAUCAGGAGGUUAGUGCAAUGGCAUAAGCCAGCUUGACUGCGAGCGUGACGGCGCGAGCAGGUGCGAAAGCAGGUCAUAGUGAUCCGGUGGUUCUGAAUGGAAGGGCCAUCGCUCAACGGAUAAAAGGUACUCCGGGGAUAACAGGCUGAUACCGCCCAAGAGUUCAUAUCGACGGCGGUGUUUGGCACCUCGAUGUCGGCUCAUCACAUCCUGGGGCUGAAGUAGGUCCCAAGGGUAUGGCUGUUCGCCAUUUAAAGUGGUACGCGAGCUGGGUUUAGAACGUCGUGAGACAGUUCGGUCCCUAUCUGCCGUGGGCGCUGGAGAACUGAGGGGGGCUGCUCCUAGUACGAGAGGACCGGAGUGGACGCAUCACUGGUGUUCGGGUUGUCAUGCCAAUGGCACUGCCCGGUAGCUAAAUGCGGAAGAGAUAAGUGCUGAAAGCAUCUAAGCACGAAACUUGCCCCGAGAUGAGUUCUCCCUGACCCUUUAAGGGUCCUGAAGGAACGUUGAAGACGACGACGUUGAUAGGCCGGGUGUGUAAGCGCAGCGAUGCGUUGAGCUAACCGGUACUAAUGAACCGUGAGGCUUAACCUU
rnacentral:rRNA from 1 species